UACAGAGGGGGCAAGCGUUGUCCGGAAUUACUGGGCGUACAGCGCGCGCAGGCGGUUGUUCACGUGCCGUGUGACAAACGGGGGCUUAACCCCCGCGGGCCAUGGUAGACGGGACGACUGGAGGCAGGGAGAGGGAUGUGGAAUUCCAGGUGUAGCGGUGAAAUGCGUAGAUAUCUGGAGGAACACCGGUGGCGAAGGCGGCAUCCCGGACCGGUAUUGACGCUGAGGAGCGAAAGCCAGGGGAGCAAACGGG
rnacentral:rRNA from 1 species